UAANCAUACCCACUGAACCUGCGGAAGGAUCAUU
rnacentral:rRNA from 1 species